ACGAACGCUGGCGGCGUGCCUAAUACAUGCAAGUAGAACGCUGAAGCUUGGUGCUUGCACCGAGCGGAUGAGUUGCGAACGGGUGAGUAACGCGUAGGUAACCUGCCUGGUAGCGGGGGAUAACUAUUGGAAACGAUAGCUAAUACCGCAUAAGAGUAGAUGUUGCAUGACAUUUGCUUAAAAGGUGCAAUUGCAUCACUACCAGAUGGACCUGCGUUGUAUUAGCUAGUUGGUGAGGUAACGGCUCACCAAGGCAACGAUACUUAGCCGACCUGAGAGGGUGAUCGGCCACACUGGGACUGAGACACGGCCCAGACUCCUACGGGAGGCAGCAGUAGGGAAUCUUCGGCAAUGGACGGAAGUCUGACCGAGCAACGCCGCGUGAGUGAAGAAGGUUUUCGGAUCGUAAAGCUCUGUUGUAAGAGAAGAACGAGUGUGAGAGUGGAAAGUUCACACUGUGACGGUACCUUACCAGAAAGGGACGGCUAACUACGUG
rnacentral:rRNA from 1 species